rnacentral:tRNA from 1 species
UCGGAUAUGGUGUAAUGGCUAACAUUGCCGCCUCUCAUGUCGUGAGGGGACUUCAACGCGGCAGCUCGGGGUUCGAUUCCCCGUAUCCGAG